ACUCGCAACAAAAAAAACCCGAAACCCGAAGGCGCAAUGAAAGUGAAGGUCGGUGGUCUGACUGACCGAGGCGGGAUCCGUUUCCGGGGUCGCUUCGUCCGAUCGUUUCGAUUUUUUUUUUCGAAAAAAGAGGAACGGUUGGCGGGCGUCCCGGCGGCGCACCGCCGGCCCGUCUCGACCGCUUAUCGUCGGCGAGGCGGAGCCAGAGCGCACACGUUGGGACCCGAAAGAUGGUGAACUAUGCUCGGGCAGGACGAAGCCAGAGGAAACUCUGGUGGAGGUCCGUAGCGAUUCUGACGUGCAAAUCGAUCGUCAGACCCGAGUAUAGGGGCGAAAGACUAAUCGAACCGUCUAGUAGCUGGUUCCCUCCGAAGUUUCCCUCAGGAUAGCUGGUGCUCGGUGAGGAACGCAGUCUCAUCCGGUAAAGCGAAUGAUUAGAGGCCUUGGGGCCGAAACGACCUCAACCUAUUCUCAAACUUUCAAUGGGUGAGAAGUCCGGCUUGCUCGACUGAAGCCCGGACCGAAUUAAAAUGUUCCAGCUUCGGCUCGGAACGUGGAUGAGAGAAAAACGGAUGCGAGUGCCCAGUGGGCCAAUUUUGGUAAGCAGAAUG
rnacentral:rRNA from 1 species